CUUGUAUUCUCCAUCGUCGUGGAUUUUAAACAGCCACCAGCCCUGACAGAGACCAGUUCUGCGCAAUCACAUAUGAAAUCUAAUGUGAAACAACUGAACAUAUGAAAAUUAAGUUUUGUAUUAUGUUUGAAAAGAAGAGACUUUGACAAAAAAGAGUGCCCAAGAAAUGUUCGACCAGCUCCAGUCUCUGCUCACUGUGACAUUCAAAACCCUGGAUGACAUAAACAAGCGCUGUUAUUGGCCUGACAUGUCUGCAGACAUUAAAAAUGGGUGAGUUUAAUUAUGUGAAUCAUCCCUUGUGUUCAUACUGUACAUCUCCAUUGUUACUGAUCAAAACUGUUUCUUUACAAUAUAUUUUAGGUCAGACUGUGCUGAGAAAACAUUGUUCUCUGAAGAAUCAAAAUCAAUGUUUGUGGACCCUGUUGUGGAAAGUCAUCUUUGUAUGAAUAACACAAGGAAUAUUUUUUAUGGUUUUUUUUUUUUUUUUUUUUUUUUUUUAUGAACAUGAAUGUUUAUUAGCCAUGGUUUAUUGUGGGGAUGGAUUUAGUGGGUAAGCUCACACCAAUGAAUGAAGGCUACCGGUACAUCUGUGUAACAGCAGAUUACUUUAUAAAGUGGUAAAUACCCAUAAAUAAAAAAAUAAAAAUGUUCUCUUUGUCCAAAUGGCAUGAGCCUUUGUACAGUUGUCAACACUUUCUAGAUCUACAAAUAAAAAAAUAAAUUGUAAUAAUAUCUGUUUUUAUGUUAGUGUGAAAAAAAAAGUCACACUUGUGUGUUUCGGGGUCUCUGGAGACCCCACUUAGAAAAUGGACAAAAUUCAUCCUCAAAAUCAGCAACAACGCACAACACACAUAGACAGAAAUGAAGUGGCACACUUUAAAACAUCCACAAUGCAAAAUGAUCAUGCUCACACACACACACACACACACACACACACACUCACAGAGGAAUACAUUUGUGAGACUAUAACACAUGUUAUGGAAACAAAGUCAUGUGACUGCAGCUCAGGUAUAACUGUGACUUACAUUACACAGUUCACUCUGUUACAACAUCAUGGCGAAACAGUUCAGUCUUCAGGAGACUCUGGAUUAUAUUUUAGACUCUAGUGAUGGUGAAGAUGUGGCAGAUGCUGAAUCAGAGGACUUUGAUGAAGCUUCUGAAACAGAAGACCACCUAGAGCAGGACCAAGAUCACAACGAAACUGAUGAGGAAAAUUCAGAUGACGAGGAUGCUGAUGAGGAGCCAAACACUUACCUCUCUAAAAAUGGAAGAGUUCGCUGGACAUCAUCUCCACAAACAAUUCAAAGACAGCACUGCAGAUGACCCCAGGAAUAACCAGGUAUGCACGUUCUCACGCUGAAGACAUCAAAUCAACCUUUGAGCUAUUUUUACAGAGGAAAUUCAAAAAAUUGUUUUUGAAAUGUCAAAUGUCGAGGAGAGACAAGUUUUUGCUAAUGAGUGGACGGAUCUGGAUUUGGCAGACAUUCAGGCCUAUAUUGGUCUUGUCAUUCUCGCUGGGCUUUACUGCUCCAACAAUGAGGCCCAUGGCAGGUUUAUGUCAUUCAGAUUCCAGAAGUCAUGUCUUUGGAGACCUUCAGGAAAAUUUCAAGGGUCAUCAGGUCUGAUGAUAACGUGCAAAUGACAAAUUAGCAGCAAUCCGACUUGUGUGGAACAAAUGGGUUGAACGUCUGCCGAUGAUGUACAAUCCUGGCCCAAAUGUCACGGUUGAUGAGAGCCUGGUGCUGUUUAGAGGGCUCUGUCCAUUUAGACAGUACAUACCCAGUAAGCCUGCGAAAUACGGCAUCAAAAUUUGGGCGGCAUGCGAUUCGACAACAAGCUAUGCCUGGCAGGUGCAAGUUUAUACGGGCAAGUCUGUGAGUGGGCAGCAAGAAAAGAACCAGGGGAUGAGAGUUGUGCUUGAUGUCACCGAAGGCCUGCGGGGUCACACAGUCUUCCCAGGAGCUGCUAAAGAGGAGGCUUACAAUGGUCAGAACAAUUAGAAAUAAUAAGCCAGAACUCCCACCUGCCCUGCUUGCAACAAAAGACCGAGCUCGCUUUUAGUCAAUGUUUGCCUUUACAGAGACACAGUCCCUUGUUUCUUACUGUCCCAAAAAAGGUAAAACUGUGCUUCAGCUUAGCACACUGCACAGGGACAGCUCAGUAAGCAGCAGAGAUGACAGGAAGCCACUGAUGAUCCUGGAUUAUAACAAAUCCAACGGAGGAGUGGACAACCUGGAUAAGGUUUUUAGUUUUUUUUUUGAUUUUUAUUGAAAUGUGACUGUCAUAUUUAUUUUGCAAGCAAACAGCAGCAGAUGAAGUAAGUGUGUGUGUGUGUGUGUGUCUGUGUUUGUAAUACUGCAGAUGGUAGCCACUUACACCUGCAAACGAAAGACAGCUCGUUGGCCGAUGGUGCUGUUUUUCAACAUGCUUGAUGUCUCUGCACUGAAUUCCUACGUGCUACGGUCUGACAUCUGUCCAGAAUGGCACUCAGGCAAAAGCUUCAAGAGAAUGCUAUUUCUGGAGGAGCUUCUAACAGCUCUGGUGGCUCCCCUUAUGGAGAAUUGACAGCACCUUCCACGCACCCCAGCCUCUCUCUAUGUCCUGAAAAAAGCGAAAAGAUCUCUAGAGGUGGAAAAUGAAGCUUCCUCAUCACAUCCAGAAGCAACCCCCAGGAAGAGGAUAAGAUGCCACCUCCGUUCCCAUGAACAGGAUCGGAAAACCACAGUGAUGUGCAGAACCUGCGACAACCCCGUCUGUAGAAGUUUACCAUGCCUACUGCUGCAGUGCACUGACUCAUAAACCAGACCACCAGUUAUUGUUCCUAGGUGUUUGAUUUUUUCCUAUUUACUGUUUUUUAAUUUGUUACUACUUUAUUUGCUCAUUUGUUAUUGCCGUUCAUUUCAUUGUAUUUUGAUGUUCAUGUCGUGUAUUUGUAUACACAAUAUGUAAUAUAACUGUUCAUUUCUGUUCAUUUUUUUCUGUUUAUUUAGUAACUUAAGUGUAAAUUACAUUUGUAGAGUUAUGUGAAAAACAGAUGACUGAAAUAAACUCUAAAGACUC